GUGAGGGAGGGUGUGAUGGUGAUGAGAUGGACUGCGGGAACCUGGGAUGUAAGCGGACAGAGUCAGCUGAAUCAGCUCCAGACAUGGGCUGAAGGAUCUCCUCAGUGGGAUGGAUUGGAGGGCGCUCCCUAGCAUGAGGGAUGGAUCAGAGGGAGUUCCAGAGGUCGAGAGACCAUCGGACGAGGGAUAUCCCUAGGGAAGGUGUCAGACUGAGAGCGACGGACUCUCCGUGUCAGAGGCAGAGGCAACGUCUGGUGAGGAGCCACAGGGGAACAUUGAACAACAGAUGGAAACCAGGCUGAGCCAGGAAGAUGAGGGUCCCGUUGCUGGUUCUGGCUUUGCUGGUCACAGACUCCGCACUCGGUGAUCCGUGUGUAAACCACACCGUCCUGGAUCAGCCCUGGAGGAGCACAAAUUGUUACAACACUGAAUGCACCGGAGGACAAUUGAUGGAUGAUGGAAAUCUUGAAGUGGUUUGGUACAGACUGAACAGGUAAAGUGAGGAGAUCAUUGCGAAGAAUCUGGACACAGAUGGGAAGGUAAACAGGGGAACAAGGGGUGUGUGAAUGGGAAAUGCAGGGAGACUGGGAUCAUCAGUGACUACACUGAGAUGGGGAGUAAAUACAGGGAGAGGGGAGAUCCCACAUUCUCGGGGUA